rnacentral:rRNA from 1 species
CGAACGAUGAAGCCUUUCGGGGUGGAUUAGUGGCGAACGGGUGAGUAACACGUGGGCAAUCUGCCCUUCACUCUGGGACAAGCCCUGGAAACGGGGUCUAAUACCGGAUAACACUCUGUCCUGCAUGGGACGGGGUUGAAAGCUCCGGCGGUGAAGGAUGAGCCCGCGGCCUAUCAGCUUGUUGGUGGGGUAAUGGCCUACCAAGGCGACGACGGGUAGCCGGCCUGAGAGGGCGACCGGCCACACUGGGACUGAGACACGGCCCAGACUCCUACGGGAGGCAGCAGUGGGGAAUAUUGCACAAUGGGCGAAAGCCUGAUGCAGCGACGCCGCGUGAGGGAUGACGGCCUUCGGGUUGUAAACCUCUUUCAGCAGGGAAGAAGCGCAAGUGACGGUACCUGCAGAAGAAGCGCCGGCUAACUACGUGCCAGCAGCCGCGGUAAUACGUAGGGCGCAAGCGUUGUCCGGAAUUAUUGGGCGUAAAGAGCUCGUAGGCGGCUUGUCACGUCGGAUGUGAAAGCCCGGGGCUUAACCCCGGGUCUGCAUUCGAUACGGGCUAGCUAGAGUGUGGUAGGGGAGAUCGGAAUUCCUGGUGUAGCGGUGAAAUGCGCAGAUAUCAGGAGGAACACCGGUGGCGAAGGCGGAUCUCUGGGCCAUUACUGACGCUGAGGAGCGAAAGCGUGGGGAGCGAACAGGAUUAGAUACCCUGGUAGUCCACGCCGUAAACGUUGGGAACUAGGUGUUGGCGACAUUCCACGUCGUCGGUGCCGCAGCUAACGCAUUAAGUUCCCCGCCUGGGGAGUACGGCCGC